UUGGACUCAGCCCGCCUGCACCCAGGUGAAAUGAACAGCCAUGUUGCUCACACAAAGCCUGUUUGGUGGUCUCUUUACACGGACGUGCAUGAAAUUUGGUGCUGUGACUCAGAUCGGGGGACCUCCCUUGGGAGAUCAAUCCCCUGUCCUCCUGUUCUUUGCUCCGUGAGAACGAUCCACCUACGACCUCAGGUCCUCAGACCCACCAGCCCAAGGAACAUCUCACCAAUUUUAAAUCAGUUUGUUCCAGAGACUCAAAUUACCAAAACUUCAGAAAGUGGAAGAAGAGUUUCCCUCCCCUCUGCAGUUUCGGUGAGAAGCCAGGAGAACAAAUCUCUCUGCUCACUCUGAAGGCUGUGAGACCCUGAGACCUGGGGAAGCUGGCAAAAGACAAGGUCUUGCUCUGUCAUCCAGGCUGGAGUCCAGUGUUGUGAACAUGUCUCACUGCAGCCUCGACCUCUUGGGCUCAAGCAAUCCUCCCACCUUAGCUUCCAGAGUAGCUGAGACUACAGGCACAUAUCACUAUGCCUGGCUAACUUUUGUUGUUUUUUGUAGAGAUGAUGUUUUGCCACAUUGCCCAUGCUGAUCUCAAACUCCUAAGCUCAAGCCCACCUCCCAUGCCCAGCUGGAUUCACAUAUCCAUAACCAAAUGUAGUUAGACUUCUGAACCUUCUCUAGGUCCAUCUGUGUAUUUCUUUGUAAAAUUCUGUAAUGAAAUUCUAUACUUUUAUGUUACCUGGGCAUCCAUUUUAAAUCCUCCUCUAUGUCUGACCUUACUGACACACCCUAAACUCCUUCUUGGAAAAACUUGCAUUAUUUUCUCUUUGCCUUUGAUAUGUUGAUUUCCUAUCGCAUCUUCUCUAGAACUUAGUAGCUAUCUUUUGGAAAUAAAUUUCAGGGUAAUGACUCACCAGAAAAUUAAAUCAUUUAAAAAUUGACCAAAUAAAAAAUACUGAAGGCUUUUUUACUAUUAGUAAAGGGCUUUAGCCAUGUGAGCAGGUUCACUUAACUUGCAAAAGCACAAUUUGGAUGCAACUGUUCUUUAUAAACUAUUGAGUUUUAUGUUAUUUUACCUGUCUCAUAGCUAAAAUUUGUUAUGAAACCUAUAAGACCUUUGUUUAUGUCUGUCUGUAUUUUUAUGUACACAUGUGUACAUAUUUGUUGUGUCAACAUUGAACCCAUCUUUACAGAAUUAUGAUGGCAAGAGAAAUAUGACAUAGUUAACUCUAUCUUGCUUCUAACCUCUAAGCUGUCCUUGCCAUGCCUGGGGAUAGGCCAAGCCAACUUUGGAAGAAAUUUAGUUUAUAGUUUCACUUUAAAGCAAGGCCGAUAAUAGCUACUCCCAAAACUAAAAGGUCUUUGUAAAAGUAAUGAAAGUCCACAAGGUUAAGAUUAUGAGAGGGGCCUUUAUUUUGUUAAGAUGCAGACAUAGGUAAAUAAUAAGCAGACAUCCUUCCAGAAGAGAAAGUCAAGCUUGCUGCAGAAUUUUGCAUAAGUAAUGAGGAGCUAAAUGUUAAUCAACAAGGCAAUGGUGAAAAUGUCUCCAGGGCAUCUUAGAGACCUUUGCAACAACCCCUCCCAUCACAGGCCCAGAGGUUUAGGAAGAAAAAAUGGUUUUGUGGGCCAGGCCCACGGUUCCUCUGCUGUGUGCAGUCUAGGCACUUGGUGCCCUGCAUUCCAGCUGUUCCAGCCAUGACUAAAAGUGGCCAAGGUACAGCUUGGGCUGUUGCUUCAGAAGGUAGAAGUCCCAAGCAUUGGCAUCUUUCAUGCAGUGUUGAGCCUGUGGGUGUACAAAAGUCAGGAACUGAGAUUUGGGGACCUCUGCCUAGGUUUCAGAGGAUGUAUGGAAAUUCCUGGAUGCCCAGGCAGAAGUUUGCUUCAGGGGGGUCCCUCAUGGAUAACCUCUGCUAGGGCAAUGCAGAAGGGAAAUGUGGGGUCAGAGUUCCUACACAGAGUCCCUCCUGGGGCAUCACCUAGUGGAGCUAUGAGAAGAGGGCCACUCUCCUCCAGACCCCAGAAUGGUUGAUACACUGACAGCUUGCACUGUGUGUCUGGAAAAGCCGCAGACACUCAAUGCCAGCCCAUAAAAGCAGUCAGGAGGGAGGUUAUACCCUACAAAGCCACAGGGGCAGAGCUGCCCAAGGCAGUGGGAGCCCAUCUCUCACACUAGUGUGAUCUGGAUGUCAGACAUGGAGUUAAAGGAGAUAAUUUUAGAGCUUUAGGAUUUGACUGUCUCACUGGAUUUUGGACUUGCAUGAUGCACGUAGCCCCUCUGUUUUGGCCAAUUUCUCCUAUUCAGAAUGUCUGUAUUUAUCAAAUGCCUACACCCCCAUUGUAUCCAGGAAGUAACUAACUUGCUUUUGAUUUUACAGGCUCAUAGGUGGAAGAGACUUGUCUUGUCUUAGCUGAGACUUUAGACUGUGGACUUUUGAGUUAAUGCUGAAAUGAGUUAAGACUUUGGGGGACUGUUGGGAAGGCAGUCUUGGUUUUGAAAUGUGAGGACAUGAGAUUUGGGAGGGGUGAGGGGAGGAAUGAUAUGGUUUGGCUCUAUGUCCCCAUCUAAAACUCUUCUUAUAGCUUCCAUAAUUCCACAUGUUGUGGGAGGGACCUGGUGGGAGAUAGUUGAAUCAUCGAGGUGGGACUUUCCCAUGCUUUUCUGCUGUUCUUGUGCUAGUGAAUGAAUCUCACAAAACUGAUGUUUUUAAAAAUACGAGUUUCCUUGCACAAGCUCUCUCUCUCUCUCUUUGCCCACUGCCAUUCAUGUAAGACAUGACUUUUCCUUUUGCCUUCCACCACGAUUGUGAAGCUUCCCCAGUCAUGUGGAACUGUAAGCCCAUUAAAGCUCUUUGUUUUGUAAAUUGCCUAGUCUUUGGUAUGUCUUUAUCAGCAGCAUGAAAAUGAACUACUACAGUACACAAGGACCAUUUUUCAUAUUUCAAUGAUGAUGGCAUUCUCAACCAAUCAGCAUCACUAAUUCCCUAGACCCCCUUCCACCAAACUGUCCUUGAAAAUCUCUAACCUCCACAGGGAGAUUGAUUUGAGUCAUAACUUCAUCUACAUGGCUUGGCUAGCUUCACAUCAAUUAAACUCUUUCUUUACUGCAGUGCCAUGGACUGAUUGAUUUUGUUUUGCCUGUCCAUCAGGCAGGACAAACAAUUAAGUAAUUACAACAUGGUUUGGAAUCUCUUCACAAAAUCCUAUUAAUGGAGGGUGGGAAGAGGGGGAGGAGCAAAAAAAAAAAAAAAAAACUGUUGGAUACUAGGCUUAGUACUUGUGUGAUGAAAUAAUCUGUACAACAAACCCCUGUGACAAAAAUUUACCCAUAUAACAAAGCUGCGCAUGUUCCCCUGAAUCU